GGUUUUUUGCAAUCCACACGGCACAGAUUUUUUUGAUUAUGUAGAUUUUUUUUUUUUUCCUCCUCUAUUGCAGUUUCAUAUGCAAAGCAUGCAUCAGCCACAUCCAUGCUAUCUCCUAAAGCAGUCAUUCUGAAACCCAAUCUGGGGACAGUGCAGACUAAAUAAAAUUUCAUUUUGAUUUGGCCUCCCGCUGAGAAUGGGACUGCUUUGUUUCAGCCGACAGAAGCAGCAAGCCAGAAAGGUGUUGAAUACACAAAUACUGACUUAACAGAAAAUUAUAAGUAGAGGCAGAAUCAAAGCUUCGCCCAGCAACUACAGAGAAAUCUAAUAUUUCCUGAGUGGGGAGAGAAGAAAGCUUGGAAACUGUAGGAAAACAUGGACCAGAAAAUCAUGUUAUUUCUAACCUAUACACACCACUGGGAUUUCCACCACUGGGAUGACCUUCUCAGAAAAAGCUACACCCAGAUAAAAAGAAGCAAAAUUGCUGGGAUGGCUAGGAUUUCAAAAUACUACUUCAUAAUAAGCAUAAAACACAUCUUAAAGCACAUAUUAUGGGUCCAGAAGAACACAUCUUUCAGUCUGCAAGAAGUAUUUAAACUACUCUGGCAGAUGAAGAUUUGGAUUUGGCUUGCUUGAUGCUGGACGAUUAAUGAAGGAAGCCCUAACUGGACAAAUGUUGGUCUCCUGAGACAAUGUGUUGUUGAUAACAGGUCUGAUUUGAGCAAGUCUAGUCAAAUUCAAUUUUAAUAGUAUUUAGAGGCACACGCAGGGCACAUACAGCUGAGCUUUCAGCUAGUUUGUCUGUUUUUAAUGUCUGUUGUGUUGCUAAAGCUUAUUCCAUUAAGUAUUAAACUUUGCAAGGCAGUAAAGACAUAUACCUGUCAGCUGCAGAGACACAAAUUUCGCCUCAGUAUAGCAGAUUUUGUUCAAAAUUUGCCUUUCUUCUUUCAUACUUAUGCAGACUGGAAUAUGUAAUUCAUCACUACUUGACUGUUCCUUUCCUGUGGAGGAAUUAUUGCAGUCUGAUUAUUUUGAACCCUAAAAAUUAUUGAUUGAGGUAAAGAGACAUGAAGGUAUUGCAAUCAGUUCUCAAUCUAGUGAGGGCAACCUACUUAAAGCAGCUAAUCCUUAGCCUAAAAGCUGUAUGCAGUUGCUACCCCUCCUACAGGACUUUUCACAUCUCUGUGCCUUUAUCAUUUACGUGAAGUUAAGUACAAAACGUUUUCCACUGCACUACCAAAAUCAAGAUAACCACCAAACAUCAGGGCAUUAUCUUACUGGAUUGCUGCAUUGAGCAUGAAAUUCAGCUCACAGCUCAGUCACAGCUCCAGCUGAGGGGGAAACAGGUCGCAUGUGCCACCAGAAUUCUGGACUUCAGGAUGUGUCCCCUCUCACAAAGCUGAAGCAAUGACGUCUAAAGUCAGUAAGGUCUAGAGUACUUUCCUUCUUCCAACACCUCCCAUUUUCUAGAGAGAGGCAAAACCAGGGGGAAGAAGAAGGUGCAUCUGUGUGCCUCACACCUCUUCUAACCACAGAGCAAGCCUCUCUUUCUUUUUCCCCAAAGAAGGUUGUUGAAACAGAGCCUAAUGGCCAGCUCCCUGCAGGUCUAGGUAUGGCACUGC
ensembl:lncRNA